GGGCUCGGCCCGGCUCGUUUACACCCCUAGAGAUAGGCAGACAGUGCACCUUUAAAAUGCCUUUUUCAGGAUCCGAAGCUAUAUCUGGAAUGUUAGAGCCAGCCAUCAGAUGAAAGAGGAGAAGAACAACAAGUUGUUCAUGUGGCAAUGCGAAAAAAGUCGAAAAAGUAACAAGAAUAUGUAAAGUGUUAUUCACAUUUUAAUAUUAGUAUUGUACCUUUCUGCUCCACCCAUAGCCUCCACCAUUUCUUUGCAAAGCUUCAUAGGUGGCGGGAAUGGCUUUGGAUCACGACCCAAAAUAAAACCGAAAUCAACAUGAAAAAGGCGCCCAUCAUCCCUAAGUAGAAGAUUAUCAAGGUUCAUGUCGUGUUUUCGGAUCGUGUCAGAAAUUCACACCCCUACUUGUGGGUCAACCCAACCAGCUCAUCUUAGCGCCCCUUGGAGCAUAUAUAAGAGUCACCUGUCUCCAAUGCCGAGUAUGUAUGUGAUCACCGAGUAGCCAGCACAACUUUUAAUGAACGUUUCAAGACACGUGGCAGUAAUCCCAAACGGUCCCUCUUCAUCCGGAUGAAACUUCUGCAAGUAGCUUGUGAUACUUCGGUGCUCUGAAAGAAUCUGAAAACAGAAAAAAAAUCAUAAGAACAUUACAGCAGGUGUCAAAAGACCAAAAUAACCACCGUUCACACCUGAGCUAACGUCUUGGAUGGUAUGAAUUCCAUCAUGCCUUCAUCAUGGCCAGUGGCUAACACCCUGUAAGGUGUUAAAUGUAGAUCAAGAUUUUCCAGUUUAAGCAAACGGUCCAUAAGUGAUACCAUUUGAACAACCUACACAAAUGACCCAACAGGAGAACAUACAUCAGUCUUUCUAUUCGGCCCGUAACAUUAGAAAACUGGAAAGAGAAAAGAUCAAAUUAUAUACCAACUGAUCCUGUCGAAGAUCAUCCCCUUUCUUGAAAAUGAUCUUCAAACAUCCACCGUCAGAUGUUCUAAACGCAAGGCGUAAAGGAUGCAACGCACUUUUAAAUAUUGAUGAAUCCGAUGGAAUAAUACCGGUGAUAAGAACAGUAGGUGCCAAAGGUGAUCGUAUAGGCUAAAAAUGUCACAGAUCAAGAUUUUAGUUACAUGUAUACUAAAAUUUAGAGGCUUCUAGAAUAUAUUACCUCCUCAAAGUACGUAAGUUCGCUAAGAAGGCCAGAAAGCAGACGCCGGAGCUUUUCGAUCUUCUUUUGAGUUCCGCCUCCAUUUCGUAGGUAGAAUAGAAACGUUUUGCAUAAGCAGGAUCACGAAGUUCAACAGCAACAUACCACCUAAGGAAGCUAGCAAUUUCGAUGUGGCGUACAACGUUGCACGAGAAAUUGAGAAAGACAAGAUUUAUCAGAGCGUUCAAACCGCAAAGCUUGAACCAGAUGAAGUAAAUAACACUGGAGUUCUUCAUCGUCAGCUCUUUCGAGAACACGGACAGCAUGUGCACGAACCUGUUGAUAUAAGUCAAAAUCAGAAUGCAACUGGUCACGUUUGUGUAUUUUCAACACACGCGACAUACCUCCUCACUCUCGAAAACAGGAGAUAACAGCUCUAAUGCAUCACAUACAUCGAUCAUUUCCCACCUACCCAUCAAUUCAAUGGCCUGCUUUGCUUCCUGAAAUACAAAAAAUAAAUUUUGUAAUUCAAUGUUUUUUUUUGUCUUCUUU
rnacentral:lncRNA from 1 species